GGGGAGCAGCUGUGCAAUCCAGCCACAGCCUUGUUCACUGCAAGGAACCUGAUGCUUUGCCUUAAAUGUGCCCAAAAGCACAUUGCAGGCAUGUGGAUGUUACAGGAGGGCUAAAGAGUAGCACACAGGAAUAAUUUAUAAUCAAUGCAACAACUUGGAUUGUUUCUCCCGAAAACCAAACAGCAUUUUUUGAGCUGCAGCCUUGGAGGAGCCUAGGUCUGCAGAAUUAGUGCUACACGUAGAGAGACAAGAUGCUGAGGUAAUUAGCUGGUCCCUUCAUGGAGUGACAAAGCUCCUGGUAGAAAGCCCAGGUUUGUGGCAAAGCAGCAGACCAUAACUCCCUCAAAUUGUUCAUUAUCUUGGCAAACCACUGCUUUUAUGUUCUCUUCAUAUGAACCUCUGCAUCCUUCCCUGGACCUGAGAGCCCGACAAAGCAGGACCAUGAGAGAAGGACAGCUGGAGAGAGAUGAAGGGGGAAGAAGAGAGUGCAGUUUCUCUGUAUGAAUUUCUGUCACACAGCAAGGAGCAAGAGUGGCAUUGCAGGUAUGCCCAGUGGAGGACUGCAGUCACUUUAUGAUGAAGGCUCAUCCACUUAUAAAUUUGUCAUGUUCAAAUCCAAAGCCAUCUACUUGGUUAUGCCAGGUUUGACACAGAGACUUUCAUUCCUUAUCUCCAGUUGUGAGACUGAGGCAAGGUCAGACUGACUAUGUCAGAAGGAAUACAGAACAUUGUUGCUUAGAGCUCAUUUAUACAAUUUAUUUCAGUAUCAUGAGAUCUGACAUGAUGUAGAA